rnacentral:rRNA from 1 species
UACGUAGGGUGCAAGCGUUGUCCGGAAUUAUUGGGCGUAAGAGCUCGUAGGCGGUCUGUCGCGUCUGCUGUGAAAACUUGGGGCUUAACCCUGAGCUUGCGGUCGAUACGGGCAUGACUGGAGUUCGGCAGGGGAGACUGGAAUUCCUGGUGUAGCGGUGAAAUGCGCAGAUAUCAGGAGGAACACCGGUGGCGAAGGCGGUGCUCUGGGCCGAAACUGACGCUGAGGAGCGAAAGCGUGGGUAGCAAACAGG